UACGUAGGGUGCAAGCGUUAAUCGGAAUUACUGGGCGUAAAGCGUGCGCAGGCGGUUAUGCAAGACAGAGGGGAAAUCCCCGGGCUCAACCUGGGAACUGCCUUUGUGACUGCAUAGCUAGAGUACGGUAGAGGGGGAUGGAAUUCCGCGUGUAGCAGUGAAAUGCGUAGAUAUGCGGAGGAACACCGAUGGCGAAGGCAAUCCCCUGGACCUGUACUGACGCUCAUGCACGAGAGCGUGGGGAGCAAACAGG
rnacentral:rRNA from 1 species